CCAUUUUUCAAAGUACACCUGUGUGGCCUGUGUCCCCUAGGACCCCCUUCCUCACAGCGCUGCGCUGGUUUCCUGCAGAAUGCUUCUGGGCUUUGGAACAGCAUCCCACCUCACCCUGGCCCUGCUGCCACACACAUGUCCUGUGACCACAUGGACAGAGACAUCCCAAAGGCUCUGCCAUCACCAGGGCCACAGCACAGAGAGGCCCAGAGCUUGGCCAGCUGUGUGUGGAGGGGGCUGGGCCAGAGUGGGGACCACGAGGGCCUGUCUCUCCAAUUGAAACACUGGAACCUGUGGCAGGCUUGGAGGGGAGCACAUGUCACAGGCUGGAGGGCUCAGACCCUGGCGGGGGCGGGGCCAGGCUCUGCAGAAUUACACUAGGACCGCCAAGUGCAGCACAUCCAGGGUGGGCUUCCAGCCUUGAGCAUGGACCCUGGGCCUGACACUGGCCACUUCUACCCCAAACCUCUGUUACUUUUCUUUGGGCUUUUGAGCUUAAUUACUUACUGAAAAAACUAGAGAGGCCAAUUACUUCACACAUUCUCAGUCUAUUGCGCCCUGCCAGAGUGGAGCCUGGCCAGCCUCAACUUGUCUGUGGGAGACAAGGAGGGUGGGCGAGGCAGGGACGUUCCCCUGUGGCCCAGGCUGCCUUGCCUGGAGAGGCCAGCCUCGUCCCAGGGCAAGAAGGCUACGUGGCCGACCCUGAGGGCUAACCCUAGACUCCGUAUUUGUUCCAGGUGACUGGGGUGGGGUUGUGAAAACCAGAGUGUUGGGGGUGGGGCGGGGGGGGGUGCCCACAAGCAAGGUCUGGUCAUCAGGUCACCUCCCGGCCCUCCUUGCUUGUGAAGUCUGUUGGCCCUCCAGGGGCUGCUGGCCAUGUUGGGACAGGCUCAACUCCCUGUCCGUUACUGAAGGAAAAACAAGCACAUUCACUUCGAUCUGCUUCACACACUGGCUUCCAUUCAAAUGCAGAAAGGGUUGAGGGGGGCCAUGCUCCCACUAAGCUCCAGCCCCAGAGGUGCAGACCCUGGAGCUGAGCUGGGAUGGUGGGGAGGGCCAGGCCAGGCCCUGGAGGGCAGGUGAGGGGGUGCAGGUGCUCUUCUGUCUCCGAAGCUCCUGCUUACAGUGGGGCAGGGGAGGCCGGCCAGCCUACGCUGCUGCUUCUGUCUCCCACAGGUGCAGCCUGCAUCAGGCCAGGCACCCCAGCAGCAUGGACCGGGGUGACACCCUCCCACCUCUUGCCUAGCGACCUGGCUCCCUGAUCAGCACCUGCCCUUCCUCAAGGGCCACCAAGGCCCCCAAGUGGGCCAUGGGCCACCUAGACCAGCGCCGGGCAUGGCCUCUGCUUGACCAUGACACCUCAUAAGAAUCGGUCUUUAGAAGUUAGAUUUGGCCUAGAUGCCCAUCAACCUUGGAAUGACAAAAUGAAGUGUGGCUUCGUGGAGAAUGUUCAGCAGUGAAAAGGAAAGAGUUCAGAACACUGAGCAGGAAAAACAAAUUCCAAAGCCAGAAGAGUCCAAAGUACCUGCACACAGAAAAGCUGGCCUUGUUCUCAGGUGUGGGGGAGGGGUGCGUCCAGACACAGGUAUUAAAUGGUGUGGGAGGACCCACGCUUCCCUCCCUGGGCAGGACAGUGAUGGCCAGGGAGCUUUUCAUUUUUGUGGCACAUGCUGGAUUUUUGAAAAGAAGAGAUCGCCAGUUUAAUGAAGGUGACUUGAGUAAUGCAUUUUCCCUGCUUUACUGACUGGCAUCUGCUCACCUUUGUCUAGUCUCUUGGUCAACAAUUCCCCACUGUCCAGGAUCAUCAGAGAAUGCUCCUCCCAAGGACUUGACCAAGCUCAGACUCUCUAGCUGGACAAUCCUAGGAAUGAGUCCCAAGGCAAUGAUGGGCCCAGUGAAGCCCUGUUUCUAUCAGUGAGGAGUUGGGAAAUGUCCAAGAAGGGGGCCGCAAGUCACUCAUUCCAAGUACCAUCGAAGAAUAUUCAGCAACACAGAAAAAUACUGUUUCGUGAAAGAAUAGAUAUGUGUAUAUAUGUACACACCCGUGUAUACAUGUGUGAACGCAGAUACAGUCUUGACCUAAAAGUGGCUGGGAUGCUGGUGGUAACUGCCUCUGGAGAGUUAAAUUUGGGAUUGUUUAAAUUUUUUCUUUAUACUUCCCUGGAGUUUCCAACCUUACAACAAACAAGCAUUGCUUUUAUUAUAAUAAUUUUUUAUAAAAGUGUUAUUUUGAAGGAAACAUUCCAUAAACUCAAGGAAAUUUGGAAGGUGCUCCACAACUGUUUUGCCUGGCGGCCCAUCUGGCCCUGGCCUGGUAGACAAGCCCUUGUGAACAGAGAGUGAAGUGAGUUCCAUAAAAGCCCAGUCUCCUCCCUCAUGUGACCUGCACCAGGAACCACCCAGGGGACUGGAGUCACUGAGUCACAGGAGCCUCUGGAAGGUUCUCCUGACCAAGCCCUUGAGACUAAGCAUCUGGGUGGCCUGAGCUGGAUUGGAUUCAUCACCCAACACCCCAUCAUGGGACCACUGACAGCAAAACCCUCAAAGCUCUGCCCUCUGGGGUGUGAGCAGAAACAGACACAUGUGCUUACCACCGCUAACAUGAGGCGUCAGUAAAUACUAUUUCAAUAUGUGCUUGAUCAUCAUAAGACAUUAAAGAUGUUAAAGACGUA